GCGUUUAGCUCAGCUGGUUCAGAGCAUCUGCCUUACAAGCAGAGGGUCGGCGGUUCGAAUCCGUC
rnacentral:tRNA from 2 species